ensembl:lincRNA
GUGAUAAAUACCUGAGAAGAGGAUGAGAUUUUAUCAGUGAAUCAAGCAAGCUUCAUGGCUCAGUUCAGAAGCAGGGGAUUUUUAUAAGGACACUACUCCCUGCCCCACCUGAAGGCAAGCCCUAAAUGUGAACCUCCUGGAUUCAAUUUAAAGAUGGCAGAGCUUUGAUCAUCUUGAUGGCAGUGGGGGGAAGGCAUCACAGCUCCCUGAGGAUGCUGCGGAGCCAUCAGCUGUGGCCUUUCCUGGGAGGAGAGAGGUGAAGUGUGCCCAUGGAAACGUUCAAUGCUCUGAGAAGAAAAGGCCUAUUGUUACUCCCGGGAGGGUGUCAGCGGGGGCGCUGGCUGAACGCAGUGGUGGAAGUGGUGAUCUCCCAGCCGUCAGGAGAGAAUGCAUUCAGACCCUCAGCCCCAAGAGUGUGUUUUCUCCUCCUCCUCUUUUCAAGCCUGUAUCAUCUCAGCAAGCGCCUCAAGUGAGCAGGAGACAGGACGGAGGUCAGCCACUGGGGAGGCAGGGCUGGAGGAGCAGGCAGCUCCUCUCACCCUCCCAGGGCCAUUCUCAUGCAACACACAACACACACACGCAAAGACCCGUGAGGACAGACUGACACGGCCUGGAGAGUGCGGCAAUCCAUUGCUGCAGAGUGGAGCAGGCGGUGCUCACUCUCAGUGCCCAGUGCCUGCCCUGCCCCCAGGAGAGCUUCCACCCUGCAAACACAAUCCCAGAAGGCUCCCUGUCUCCCACCAUAAAGCAAUUCUUAUGUGCAUGAGGGAGAGAAUGUACAAGAGGAC